rnacentral:rRNA from 1 species
CCUACGGGAGGCAGCAGUGAGGAAUAUUGGUCAAUGGGCGGAAGCCUGAAGCAGCCAAGUAGCGUGCGGGAUGAAGGCCCUACGGGUCGUAAACCGCUUUUGCACGGGGAUAACACCCUCCACUUGUGGAGGUCUGCAGGUACCGUGCGAAUAAGGGCCGGCAAAUUCCGUGCCAGCAGCCGCGGUAAUACGGAAGGCCCGAGCGUUAUCCGGAUUGAUUGGGCUAAAAGGGAGCGUAGGCGGGCGUUAAAGUCAGCGGUAAAAUCGCGCGGCUCAACCGCGCCCCGCAGUUGAAACUGGACGGCUUGAGUUCACAACAGGCAGGCGGAAUUCGUGGUGUAGCGGUGAAAUGCAUAGUUAUCACGAGGAACCCCGAUUGCGAAGGCAGCCUGCCGGGGUGCGACUGACGCUGAGGCUCGAAGGUGCGGGUAUCAAACAGGAUUAGAUACCCUUGUAGUC